GAUGAACGCUGGCGGCGUGCAUAACACAUUCAAGUCGAACGGACAAGGGGACUUCGGUCCCUGCGUUAGUGGCGGACGGGUGAGUAACGCGUGAGCAACCUGCCCCUGUGUGUGGAAUAACGUUUGGAAACGAACGCUAAUACCGCAUAAAGCAUAGAAAUCGCAUGUUUUUAUGCCAAAGAUUUAUUGCACAGGGAUGGGCUCGCGUCCGAUUAGAUAGUUGGUGGGGUAACGGCCUACCAAGUCGACGAUCGGUAGCCGGACUGAGAGGUUGAACGGCCACAUUGGAACUGAGAAACGGUCCAGACUCCUACGGGAGGCAGCAGUGGGGAAUAUUGGGCAAUGGGCGAAAGCCUGACCCAGCGACGCCGCGUGAAGGAAGACGGUCUUCGGAUUGUAAACUUCUUUUAUAAGGGACGAAGCAUGACGGUACCUUAUGAAUAAGCCACGGCUAACUACGUG
rnacentral:rRNA from 1 species